rnacentral:rRNA from 1 species
GACGAACGCUGGCGGCGUGCCUAACACAUGCAAGUCGAACGAGAAUCGAUGGAUAGAGACUUCGGUCAAUUGAAGUUGAGGACAGUGGCGAACGGGUGAGUAACGCGUGAGGAACCUGCCUUUCAGUGGGGGCCAACAGUUGGAAACGACUGCUAAUACCGCAUAAUGUGCAGAAGGGGCCUCCCUUUUGUACCAAAGCUUUAUGUGCUGAAAGAUGGCCUCGCGUCUGAUUAGAUAGUUGGUGAGGUAACGGCUCACCAAGUCUGCGAUCAGUAGCCGGGUUGAGGGACUGACCGGCCACAUUGGGACUGAGAUACGGCCCAGACUCCUACGGGAGGCAGCAGUGGGGAAUAUUGGGCAAUGGGCGAAAGCCUGACCCAGCAACGCCGCGUGAAGGAAGAAGGCCUUCGGGUUGUAAACUUCUUUUACCAGGGACGAGGGACGUGACGGUACUGUCAUAAGAAGCACCGGCUAACUACGUGCCAGCAGCCGCCGCGUAAAAC